UAUCCAACCAAUCCAACGAGA
rnacentral:piRNA from 1 species